GCGGACGACAUGCUCUUCUUCCUGGAACAGCCCAGGAUUUCCAUGCCCAACCUUCUACGGGCGUUUCGCGUAUAUCACAAGGUAUCCAACUUGAAACUUAACGUGGAAAAGUCCGAAGCUAUGCCGAUAAUGCAGGGGGAGGAGCAGGCUCGCCAGCUCAGCUCUCAGUUCGCCUUCUCCUGGUGCACAACCAAGCUACGGUACCUGGGAACCUGGCUGCCGGCGGACCUAACGCAGGUAUACAGGUUGAACUUUCUCCCUAUCCUCUCAGCC